rnacentral:rRNA from 1 species
AAAGAUUUUAUCGCUUGAAGACGGACUCGCGUCCGAUUAGUUAGUUGGUGAGGUAACGGCUCACCAAGACCGCGAUCGGUAGCCGGACUGAGAGGUUGAACGGCCACAUUGGGACUGAGACACGGCCCAGACUCCUACGGGAGGCAGCAGUGGGGGAUAUUGCGCAAUGGGGGCAACCCUGACGCAGCAACGCCGCGUGAAGGAUGAAGGUUUUCGGAUUGUAAACUUCUUUUAUUAAGGACGAAAAAUGACGGUACUUAAUGAAUAAGCUCCGGCUAACUACGUGCCAGCAGCCGCGGUAAUACGUAGGGAGCAAGCGUUGUCCGGAUUUACUGGGUGUAAAGGGUGCGUAGGCGGCUUUGCAAGUCAGAUGUGAAAUCUAUGGGCUCAACCCAUAAACUGCAUUUGAAACUGUAGAGCUUGAGUGAAGUAGAGGCAGGCGGAAUUCCCCGUGUAGCGGUGAAAUGCGUAGAGAUGGGGAGGAACACCAGUGGCGAAGGCGGCCUGCUGGGCUUUAACUGACGCUGAGGCACGAAAGCGUGGGUAGCAAACAGGAUUAGAUACCCUGGUAGUCCACGCUGUAAACGAUGAUUACUAGGUGUGGGGGGUCUGACCCCUUCCGUGCCGGAGUUAACACAAUAAGUAAUCCACCUGGGGAGUA